rnacentral:lncRNA from 1 species
AACUGAAUUUAACUUUAAAAGAAAUUGAUAAUAAAAUUCAUUUUAUUCUGAAAAUCAUGCUAUGAAGUCAACUUUAUAAAAUAAAUAACUUUAAAAUUUAAAGAAGACUUAUUUCUUAAAAAUAAGUUUUAUAUCCACUCACUCAAUACGAGCUACAGACUAGGCUAGUCUGUAAGCUUUUCCAAUUCUUCGUCACCACCUGUAAUACGUUACAAAUAACUAAUUUAAUCACUAUUAGAAUAAAGAAACAUUUAAUCUCUAAUGAUAUAAUAAUUAAACUAAAUUCCCCAAAACUUGCAAAAUUUUCCUAAAUUUCCUUUAAUCAAUCGAAGCUAAUUUCCACUUUCUAAUACCUUCACAAUCAUAUACCACAUCCAAAUUUAACUUCAUUACAAUCAUAACAAUAUUUGUCCCUUUCAUUUUAGUGAAAAACGAGAAAUCAUAAUACAACCAAAUUAAUAUAUCUAUCAAUCCCCAAAAUCA